GACUCAGUGGGGAACCUGACGGGCCUCCGAAGGCUUGACUUGACCUAUACGCUUUUGACGCUCCCAGACGGUUGGGAACUUGACGGCCUGUUACUCCGCUCUGCA
rnacentral:pre_miRNA from 1 species